ensembl:snRNA U6 U6 spliceosomal RNA
AUGCUCAUUUCAGCAGCACAUAUACUAAAACUGGAAUGAUACAGAGAUUAGCACGGUCCCUGCACAAGGAUGACAUGCAAAUUUGUGAAGUGUCCCAUAUUAAA